AUUUAAAUAGCUUAUAGGUAAAGUAUAAUAUUGAAGAUAUUAAGAAAAUUAUUAAUAAUUUUUAGAUA
rnacentral:tRNA from 1 species